rnacentral:misc_RNA from 1 species
AUAAGAACGUAGCGAAAUGCGAUACUUGGUGUGAAUUGCAGAAUCCCGUGAACCAUCGAGUCUUUGAACGCAAGUUGCGCCCGAAGCCGUCAGGCCGAGGGCACGCCUGCCUGGGCGUCACACGCCGUUGCCCCCCCGCGCCCCGCACCCAACUCUUUGGGAGCGACCGCGGGGCGGGCUGAUGAUGGCCUCCCGUGCGCUCCGCCGCGCGGUUGGCCCAAAUACCGAGUCCCCGGCGACGUGCGCCACGACGAUCGGUGGUUGAGAGACCUCUGUCGCAAGUCGUGCGCGCCCGUCGCGUCACGCGGGCUCGCAUAGCGCCUCGCGCCGCACCCGGUGCGGAGCUUUCAACGCGACCCCAGGUCAGGCGGGGUUACCCGCUGAAUUUAAGCAUAUCAAUAAGCGGAGGA